rnacentral:rRNA from 1 species
GUUGAACGCUGGCGGCAGGCCUAACACAUGCAAGUCGAGCGGAUGAAGGGAGCUUGCUCCUGAAUUCAGCGGCGGACGGGUGAGUAAUGCCUAGGAAUCUGCCUGGUAGUGGGGGAUAACGUCCGGAAACGGGCGCUAAUACCGCAUACGUCCUGAGGGAGAAAGUGGGGGAUCUUCGGACCUCACGCUAUCAGAUGAGCCUAGGUCGGGUUAGCUAGUUGGUGGGGUAAAGGCAUACCAAGGCGCCGAUCCGUCACUGGUCUGAGGUGAUGAUCAGUCACACUAGAACUGAGACACGGUCCAGACUCCUACGGGAGGCAGCAGUGGGGUAUAGUGGACUAUGGGCGGAAGGCUACUCCAGCCAUGCCGCGUGGGGUGAGAAAGUAUUCGGAUCUGAAAGGUCAUCUAGUUGGGUAGAAGGGCAGUAAGGUAAAUUCUUGCGGAGUUGACGGUACCAUAAGAAUAAGCACCGGCUAACUUCGUG